rnacentral:rRNA from 1 species
UACGUAGGGUGCAAGCGUUGUCCGGAAUUAUUGGGCGUAAAGAGCGUGUAGGCGGCCAGGUAGGUCAGCUGUGAAAACUCGAGGCUCAACCUCGAGACGCCGGUUGAAACCAUCUGGCUAGAGUCCGGAAGAGGAGAGUGGAAUUCCUGGUGUAGCGGUGAAAUGCGCAGAUAUCAGGAAGAACACCCGUGGCGAAGGCGGUUCUCUGGGACGGUACUGACGCUGAGACGCGAAAGCGUGGGGAGCGAACAGG